GUGGUAAUGCCGGAUGUUCCACAUGAUCGCAUGUGAUUGUGGGAAAGAUUCUAUCGGCGUGGGAUGGGGUCGCGUCCUAUCAGCUUGUUGGUGAGGUAACGGCUCACCAAGGCUUCGACGGGUAGCCGGCCUGAGAGGGCGACCGGCCACAUUGGGACUGAGAUACGGCCCAGACUCCUACGGGAGGCAGCAGUGGGGAAUAUUGCACAAUGGGCGCAAGCCUGAUGCAGCGACGCCGCGUGAGGGAUGGAGGCCUUCGGGUUGUAAACCUCUUUUGUUUGGGAGCAAGCCUUCGGGUGAGUGUACCUUUCGAAUAAGCGCCGGCUAACUACGUGCCAGCAGCCGCGGUAAUACGUAGGGCGCAAGCGUUAUCCGGAUUUAUUGGGCGUAAAGGGCUCGUAGGCGGCUCGUCGCGUCCGGUGUGAAAGUCCAUCGCUUAACGGUGGAUCUGCGCCGGGUACGGGCGGGCUGGAGUGCGGUAGGGGAGACUGGAAUUCCCGGUGUAACGGUGGAAUG
rnacentral:rRNA from 1 species